UGGCUCUCGCAUCGAUGAAGAACGCAGCGAAGCGCGAGAUGUAAUGUGAAUCGCAGAGCAUUGUGAAUCAUCGAAUCUUUGAACGCACAUUGCGCCUCCGUUAACAUGGAGGCAUGUCUGUCUGAGCGUCCCUCUAUCCAGAAUAGGAUAAGCCUUUCUUUGGGAGGUUUGUUUUGGGCGCUUCGUCUUAGGACGUGGCCUGAAAAAGAAGGGAAAUUUGGGUCUCUUAUAGCAUGAGCUAGAGUCUGAUAUGACCAAACCGUGCAGAGAGAUCCGGAGUGAUUUUUAAACUUGAAGACCUCAGAUCAGAUAAGGUUACCGCCUGA
rnacentral:misc_RNA from 1 species